rnacentral:rRNA from 1 species
UACGGGGGGGGCAAGCGUUGUUCGGAAUUACUGGGCGUAAAGGGCGCGUAGGCGGUUUGCUAAGUUGGAUGUGAAAACUCUGGGCUUAACCCAGAGCCUGCAUCCAAAACUGGCAAACUUGAGUACUGGAGGGGAAAGCGGAAUUCCUGGUGUAGCGGUGAAAUGCGUAGAUAUCAGGAGGAACACCGGUGGCGAAGGCGGCUUUCUGGACAGUAACUGACGCUGAGGAGCGAAAGCGUGGGGAGCGAACAGG